UACGGAGGGUGCAAGCGUUAAUCGGAAUUACUGGGCGUAAAGCGUGCGCAGGCGGUUUUUCAAGACAGAUGUGAAAUCCCCGGGCUUAACCUGGGAAUGGCAUUUGUGACUGGAAGGCUAGAGUGUGUCAGAGGGGGGUAGAAUUCCACGUGUAGCAGUGAAAUGCGUAGAGAUGUGGAGGAAUACCGAUGGCGAAGGCAGCCCCCUGGGAUAACACUGACGCUCAUGCACGAAAGCGUGGGGAGCAAACAGG
rnacentral:rRNA from 1 species